ensembl:lncRNA
UUGCAUAUUUUUGAUAUCACCAAACACUAAGAGGCUUAGGAGUAAUCCUAAAACUUAAAUUUAAUAGUACAUCUUGCUAUUGAAUUAUAAUUGCAUGUUAUCCAGCUGUAUGUACAAAUGGCAUGAAUAGCAGUUAACAUAAUAUCAUUUUUGUUUACUGAUUUUUCUAUCUCUCUGCUAUUUUGUAAUUUUUCUGCCAUCAGUACUCGGUGCAAUUUGUUAAAGGACAAUUUUGGAAUUAAGUUUACUUGACUUGUGUUCCCUUGUGCUCUAAUGUUAGGAAAGCUGAAUUAAUAAAUAUUUUCUUUUCUCAGGGAGAAGAGGAAAGAAAGCAAAGAGAGGAUUAGAGAAAAAGAAAAGAUUAGAGAGAGAGACAGAGAUAAAGAAAAAGAGAAAGAUAGAGAUCGAGAAAAGGAUAGGGGCAGGGAAAAAGACAGAGGCAGAGAAAAAGAGAGAGGGAGAGAGAGGGAGAAGGAGAAGACCAAGGAUAGAGACAAGGACCGAAUGAAAGAUAGGGAGAAGGAGCGAGAAAAAGACAAAGAGAAGGAUAAAGAAAAAGAGAAGGAGAAAGCAGCAGAUAUGGAAAAAGAAAAAAGAGAAGAUUUGGACAAAGAAGGAGAAAAAGAAAAGGAGAGAGAGACAGAAGGAGACAAAGAGAAGGAUGACAAAGAACACGUCAAAGAAAAGGAGGAAGACAAAGAGAAAGUAAAGGAGGCAGAAAAGGACCAUGAAAGAGAUAAAGAAGGAGAGAAAGCAAAAGACAAAGAAAGAGACAGAGACCGAGAAAGAGAUGAAAAAAAGAAAAAGGAGAAGAGAUCUAAAACACCUCCUAGAAGCUAUAGUUCCUCAAGAAGAUCACGUAGUUCUAGCAGAGAUCGAAGGAAAAGGAAGAGCCGAAGUCCUUCAAAGUCUCCCAGAUCAUCCAAAAUCACAAAAAGGAAAUCAUCUCGGUCUCCAUCUCCAAGGAGAAGCAAGAAAGACAAAAAAACAGAGAAGGAGAGAGACGUAAGUAAUGAUCGAAGAAGAGAGAGGGAGAGGUCUACCUCAAAGCGAAAGAGUAGUAAAGACAAAGAAGUCAAAGAGAAAUCAGAUAAAACCCCAGUUGUGAAGGAUAAAGAUCUCAGUAAAGAAAAUCAAAAUUCUGAAAUCAAUAAAGCAACAGAAGGAGAGGAGACAACAAUUGCAGCAGAAAUUGAACAACAACAGAAUGGGAACUGCCAGCCAAAUGAAGAAACAAUCUCAGUUAAAACUGAAGAUGUGUAGAAUGUUGAAUGGGACCUUUGACACAUUUUGCAAAAGAAAUACAAAACCUUUUGUCUCAUCUCCAAAAUACAUCCAAAAAGGAUACAACGUUAUUAAGCAAUCAACUGGACAUACCAAAUUGUGCUUGCAGCUAUUCCAGUCUUGGUUGUUUGGUCACCUUGAGGACUGACAAGAAGCAGGACUACCAAUAGGAUAUGCUGUGACAAAAGCACUGGUCAAAUCUUCCAAAUAAAUGUAUUUCAUUGUUAAUAAAAUACUAGGAGAUUGCAAUGUACUAUCCUGAAAAGCUACCAAGGGAUGCAUUUGGAAGUUGUUAAAAUAUUUGUAGAUUGAUAAUUUUUGUUUUUCUUAUGGUUUAAAAACUAAACUCCAUGUGAUAUGUUUUGAUGAUGUGCUUGAAAAUGGUGCAGAAAUAAACAUAUUUCCUUUGAUGUUGUAAAUUACAAGUGAUGAAAAGUUUUAACCUAACACAGUUUUACAGUUGUGUUAUGCCCACAAAGGCAAGUGAAGAUUCUUUCCUCUGUUAUUUGUGACUUUCUUUUUAUAUUUUUAAAAACAUAAUUUACAACGUAAGUCUAAAAUUCUUCUCUUAACUAUAGCUGAUCAAUGCAUGCUAAUGUUCGGAUUCUGAAAAGAAGAUCCAUGUUUAUACUAGAGUUCCAUUCUUCCAAUUAUAAGCACAUCUAUAUAGUAAUUGCAAACAACUGACUUUGUCUUGAGUUGUAUUACAGGGUGCCUAGUCACUUGCAAAUAGAACAGAAACAGAAAGAUGGUUUCUUUUUACUUUUUAAUGGGGAUGUAGAGCACAAGCUGAUGCUUUAGUGCCUUUGACACAGAGAAUAGUGAUUUCUAGUAACAUAGAGGGUUUUUUUAAUUAUCUGUUUAUGAGUUGCUCUCUUUGAUGAUUCUAUCACACCAGUAGGCAAGCAUUUGAAAGAUGUCAGUCACAUUAUCCAUUAGUUAUUUGAAAUAAUUUGAAGAUCUCUUGAUUUCAAGUUAAAAAAAAAACCUAGUUAAUCUAAUUGCUGUUUAGGGACCAUAAAAAGUUGGGCAUGAUCCAGCAAAUAAUCCAGUUAAUCUAUACAUUUUUCAGAUCAUAUACUGAACCAGGGAAUUGAAUAGUGCUAAAUAAAAAUAAUGUACCUCUCGGCAGGACUGGAACAUAGAAAGCUCCCUUUAAAAGCAUGCAUCUUAUGGGCUAAAUGUAAGAGUUAUUUCUAUACAUUCUAUCACAAGUAAAGAAAUAAUUAAGAUUUCUGUUCUGUUUGAUAAAAAUCUGAAAGAAAAAAGCACAUGAGCACAACUAAUUCUGGCCUCAUUGCAGCCUUUUAAAAUUUAAAGCAAAAGGUUGUGAAAUCAAGAACUAUUUGAAUACAAUGUAAUACAAUCAUAUGGCCUUACAGGAUUAAAAAGAGGUAUGAAAAGCCAAAUAGUCAUAGCUUUCAGUUUGUGUUCUCAAUAUUUCUGUUUACGGACAGAUAGGUGAGUAUGAUAAAAUGAAAGCUAUAAGAUUAGAGCCCAUAGAUUGUGACACUGCUUUAGUAGCUCAUUGUUGGGUGAGGUAUUUGUUCGUUUUGUUACAGUCUAAAGUUUUUCUUCAAAAAACCUUUAGUGAAUGCUUUACCAUGUAAAGUAUGGACAGUAAUUUUGUGAUGUUUAUGCCACGUGAAGUUGGCUCGCAAACAGCUUAUUCUGAUAAAGCAAUGACAAACCUCAUGCUUCUUGAAGUACUGAAAGAUUGUGUCUUGGAACAGCAGCUGUCAUAUUUAUGAUGUAUAAGUAGCAUAGAGCAAAGAUUGUAUACUUGCUAUCUUUGGUACCAUCACUAAUAAAUUUUAGUAUUUUAGAGGGAAGUAGUUCUGAUCUGCUUUUUAAAAUAAUGCCUGGAAGUUGAUCAUUUUCUACAAUAGCUACAUUUUGUUAUGUGGAUACUUUGGUUUGCAUUGGUACAUAGCAAAGUAAAAAAGAUGGAGCGCAGAGGAGAUACAUAUUAAAAGUUUACAACUUUUCAGUAUCAAGUAAUUGUCAGUACUUUAUGUUCCUAAAAUGUUCCAAGUUUUUUUUUCAUAUAUUGCCAAAGAUGGUAUUACUUUAAUUUACAAGCAGAGGCUGAAAUGGUUACAAUUGGCCUAGUGAGUCUUUGAUUGGGAUCAGUUUAAAAUCAGUUAAUGUAGUAGCUGAAUAGGUUAAGGUUGUGUGAGUCUACAAUAAAAUCCUGUUGAAAUUGCAUCAGAUCAUUGAGACACUUUCUGUUAUGUUUCUGUGUAGUUCCACAGGAAUACUUAAGCAUUUCCUUAUACAAAAUAUUUCACCAAAUUGACACUGUAGCCAGUGUUUUUCUUCUGCUACAUUUUUUCCUUGGUGGCUCAGAUUCCUCCUGUAGAUUUGUGGAAACAGGAAGAUGUAGAGCAAAGAAGAGGAAGAGAAAAACUGCACAGACUACCUUACAGAAUUCUG